rnacentral:lncRNA from 1 species
CAUGCUUGUACAGGUGUGCACAUGUGUGUACAAACACAGAUACGUGCACACGUGCAUGAAAACACAAACACGUGCUGGCGUGUCCAUUCACAAACUCACACAGGCCCAAAGGAGCCCACCGGGUUUCACCACUGUGCUGGCACCUGGAGCCUGUUCGGCAUGCGGCAUGCAUGGAGCUCAGCCUGGAGGUGCAGCCUCAGUCCACAGCCAGAAACCCAGCGGAGUUCCAGGCUUCGGGAAGUUUGGUGUGAGCUCCCUAAAAGGAAAGACAAGAAGGCUCUGCGGCCUCGGGUGACUUUGCUGCCAUCCUGAAGCUGCAGUUUUCUUAACAGCACUUUUGAACCUAGGACUAUCCUCCCCUUUCUGUGUCUCCCCUUCCUACCCCCAGGGGAGGAGCAGGGAGACACCCAGACCUCCUCUGCUCUCUCUCCACGGAACAGGUUCCCGG